AUUGAACGCUGGCGGCAUGCCUUACACAUGCAAGUCGAACGGCAGCACGGGAGCAAUCCUGGUGGCGAGCGGCGAACGGGUGAGUAAUGCAUCGGAACGUACCUUUCAGUGGGGGAUAACGUAGCGAAAGUUACGCUAAUACCGCAUAUUCUGUGAGCAGGAAAGCAGGGGAUCGCAAGACCUUGCGCUGAUUGAGCGGCCGAUGUCAGAUUAGCUAGUUGGUGAGGUAAAGGCUCACCAAGGCGACGAUCUGUAGCGGGUCUGAGAGGAUGAUCCGCCACACUGGGACUGAGACACGGCCCAGACUCCUACGGGAGGCAGCAGUGGGGAAUUUUGGACAAUGGGGGCAACCCUGAUCCAGCCAUGCCGCGUGAGUGAAGAAGGCCUUCGGGUUGUAAAGCUCUUUCGGCCGGGAAGAAAUCGCACAGGCUAAUACCUUGUGUGGAUGACGGUACCGGAAUAAGAAGCACCGGCUAACUACGUGCCAGCCGCCGCGGUAA
rnacentral:rRNA from 1 species